GUCCAGCCACACUGGAAUUGAGACACGGUCCAGACUCCUACGGGAGGCAGCAGUGGGGAAUCUUGCACAAUGGGCGAAAGCCUGAUGCAGCGACGCCGCGUGGGGGAUGAAGCAUCUCGGUGUGUAAACCCCUUUCGACCCGGAAGAAUGCCUCGCAAGAGGACUGACGGUACGGGUAUAAGAAGCCCCGGCUAACUACGUGCCAGCAGCCGCGGUAAGACGUAGGGGGCCAGCGUUGUUCGGAAUUACUGGGUGUAAAGGGUUCGUAGGCGGUGUGGCAAGUUGGGAGUGAAAUCUCUGGGCUCAACCCAGAGGCUGCUUCCAAAACUGCUGUGCUUGAGUGUGGGAGAGGCGCGUGGAAUUGCAGGUGUAGCGGUGAAAUGCGUAGAUAUCUGCAGGAACACCCGUGGCGAAAGCGGCGCGCUGGACCACUACUGACGCUGAGGAACGAAAGCUAGGGGAGCAAACAGGAUUAGAUACCCUGGUAGUCCUAGCCCUAAACGAUCAGGACUUGGGGUGCCACCCGUUCGGGUGUCGUCCCGGAGCUAACGCGUUAAGUCCUGCACCUGGGGAGUACGGUCGCAAGACUGAAACUCAAAGGAAUUGACG
rnacentral:rRNA from 1 species